CUUGACGACCAUAGAGCAUUGGAACCACCUGAUCCCAUCCCGAACUCAGCAGUGAAACGAUGCAUCGCCGAUGGUAGUGUGGGGAACCACCUGAUCCCAUCCCGAACUCAGCAGUGAAACGAUGCAUCGCCGAUGGUAGUGUGGGGUUUCCCCAUGUGAGAGUAGGUCAUCGUCAAGA
rnacentral:rRNA from 1 species